AGCCAAUCUUCUCAAUUCUAACUCUUAUGGAUUUCUCUGAUUCCAUGCUAUCGUGUGAGCUUUCCAUCCAGUUUAGGACAUUUCUCCAAGUAAGACAGUGACAGAAAGGCAGAAAACAGACUCUGUAGCUGAGCCACAAAGAUGCACGGCCACCCAUCAGAAUCCCCAAGCCGUGGUCAGUUGAGUACGGCCACAACGCCUGUCAAUCCAAAAUCACCCUCAAACAGACUUGAUUUAAAUAUUACAGCCCUCAGUAUGGUUCAUCUGUGAUAAUAAAGCUCCAUUCCUACA